CACGGGGUUGCGAGCGUUGUCCGGAAUUACUAGGCGUAAAGGGCAGGCAGGCGGAUCCAUAAGUUUAUCGUUUAAGGCGUCGGCUUAACCGGCGUAGGGCGGUAGAUACUGUGGAUCUGGAAUGCGGUUGGGGAAGACAGAAUUCCUGGUGUAGCGGUGGAAUGCGCAGAGAUCAGGAGGAAUACCGAAGGCGAAGGCAGUCUUCCAAGCCGUUAUUGACGCUCAACUGCGAAGGUGUGGGUAUCAAACAGGAUUAGAUACCCGUAUAGUCCCUGA
rnacentral:rRNA from 1 species